GAAGGCGGCCGGAAGGUCGCCGGUGCGCCAUCUAAGGUUCACGGGAGGAAAGUCCGGGCUCCACAGGACAGGGAGGUCGGUAACGCCGACCCGGGGUGACCCGAGGGAAAGCGCCGCAGAAACGACACCGCCGAUGGUCCGGCUCUCUUCUUCUUGAGGAGGCCAGACACAGGUAAGGGUGAAAUCGUGAGGUAAGAGCUCACGCGCGACAGCCGGGUGACCGGCGGCGGGGCAAGCCCCUCCCGGAGCAAGCUCGAAUAGGGACAUCGUCGAGGGCGGUCCGCCUGAUCGCCCGGCUUCGGUCGGGUGCGGUGUCCGGGUGAGAGUGCUCGAGCCGUCCAGCAAUGGCCGGCCUAGAGGAAUGACCUUCUCCCGCGCCGGGGCAACCCGGCGCGGAGACAGAACCCGGCUUACAGGCCGCUCCAGAU
rnacentral:RNase_P_RNA from 1 species